rnacentral:SRP_RNA from 1 species
GCCUGGCACGGUGGUGCGUGCUUGUAGUCCCAGCUACUCUGGAGGCUGAGGCUGGAGGAUCACUUGGGCCCAGGAGUUCCGGGCUGUCAUGCGCUAUGCCGAUCGGGUGUCCGCACUAAGUCUGGCAUCAAUAUGGUGACCUUCUGGGAGCGGAAGACCACCAGGUUGCCUAAGGAGGGGUGAACUGGCCCAGGUCGGAAACAGAGCAGGUCAAAACUCCCGUGCUAAUCAGUAGUGGGAUGGUGCCUAUGAAUAGCCACUGCACUCCAGCCUGGGCAACAUAGUGAGAUCCCAUCUCU